rnacentral:lncRNA from 1 species
ACCUCCUCCAGGGAGCCUCCGUAGAUUACCCCCUAGCUUCUCACCAGCAGUCCCCAUACCCUGAUAGAAAUAAAUGAACUUUUUCCAUGACUUCUUUGGUACUUCAUGCUACUUUUCUAGCACUUUUUCCUCAUAGGCUGCUGUGUGAGGGGUAUACAUGGGCAUGCUUACCUGUGCAAUCCUCCUGAUCCCCACGUUCUUGC